rnacentral:rRNA from 1 species
AUACGGAGGGGGCAAGCGUUGUUCGGAAUUACUGGGCGUAAAGGGCGCGUAGGCGGAUUGUCAAGUCAGAGGUGAAAGCCCUGGGCUCAACCUGGGAACUGCCUUUGAAACUAACAGACUAGAGUCCGAGAGAGGAUGGCGGAAUUCCCAGUGUAGAGGUGAAAUUCGUAGAUAUUGGGAAGAACACCAGUGGCGAAGGCGGCCAUCUGGCUCGGUACUGACGCUGAGGCGCGAAAGCGUGGGGAGCAAACAGGAUUAGAAACCCCGGUAGUCC